UACAGAGGGUGCGAGCGUUAAUCGGAAUUACUGGGCGUAAAGCGCACGUAGGUGGCUUUGCAAGUCGGAUGUGAAAUCCCCGGGCUUAACCUGGGAACUGCAUUCGAGACUGCAUUACUAGAGUAUGGGAGAGGGAGGCGGAAUUUCCGGUGUAGCGGUGAAAUGCGUAGAUAUCGGAAGGAACAUCAGUGGCGAAAGCGGCCUCCUGGACCAAUACUGACACUCAUGUGCGAAAGCGUGGGGAGCAAACAGG
rnacentral:rRNA from 1 species